rnacentral:tRNA from 1 species
UGGUGGCUCAGUGGUAGAAUUCUCGCCUUCCACGCGGGAGACCUGGGUUAGAUUCCCAGCCA